AAUCUCUGAAGUGCUUUAUGAUGGACCC
rnacentral:sRNA from 1 species